rnacentral:rRNA from 1 species
GACGAACGCUGGCGGCGUGCUUAACACAUGCAAGUCGAACGGAAAGGCCCUGCUUUUGUGGGGUGCUCGAGUGGCGAACGGGUGAGUAACACGUGAGUAACCUGCCCUUGACUUUGGGAUAACUUCAGGAAACUGGGGCUAAUACCGGAUAGGAGCUCCUGCUGCAUGGUGGGGGUUGGAAAGUUUCGGCGGUUGGGGAUGGACUCGCGGCUUAUCAGCUUGUUGGUGGGGUAGUGGCUUACCAAGGCUUUGACGGGUAGCCGGCCUGAGAGGGUGACCGGCGCACAGGGGGACUAGGGGAGGCCCCAGCCGCCAAGGGGGGGCAGUGGGGGGAAUACUGCCGAAGCGGCGGGGGGCGGGUGGUGAAGGCCCGCGGGUGGGAAACUCGGCUUUUGGGUAAGAACAACUUUGUGAGUUGCUAGGAGCGUGUUGACGGUAAAUGAUAAGAAAGCCACGGCUAACUACGUG